rnacentral:rRNA from 1 species
UUUAUACNUGCACCUCGAACGAAGUAGCAAUACUUAGUGGCAAACGGGUGAGUAUAAUGUANGUAUCUGCCUUUUGGUUUGGAAUAACACGAGGAAACUUGUGCUAAUACCGGAUAAGCCUUUACAGGGAAAGUUUUAACGCCGAAAGAUGAGCCUGCACUUGAUUAGCUAGUUGGUAGGGUAAUGGCCUACCAAGGCAACGAUCAAUAGCUGAUCUGAGAGGAUGAUCAGCCACAUUGGGACUGAGACACGGCCCAGACUCCUACGGGAGGCAGCAGUGGGGAAUCUUGCACAAUGGGGGAAACCCUGAUGCAGCGAUGCCGCGUGAGUGAAGAAGGCCUUUGGGUUGUAAAGCUCUUUCGUCGGGGAAGAAAAUGACUGUACCCGAAUAAGAAGGUCCGGCUAACUUCGUGCCAGCAGCCGCGGUAAUACGAAGGGACCUAGCGUAGUUCGGAAUUACUGGGCUUAAAGAGCUCGUAGGUGGUUAAGAAAAGUUGGUGGUGAAAUCCCAAGGCUUAACCUUGGAACUGCCUCAAAACUUUUUAACU